GCCUGGAUAGCUCAGUUGGUUAGAGCGUGGUGCUGACAAGGACAAGGAUGCAGGUUCGAUCUCCGUAUGGGACA